GCUUCCUCCCUUUCCCCCACGGUCCCCACCCUCUUUUCCCGUCUUCAUUUUUCUCCUCCCCGCCGGCGCUUCCAGUGGCGAUUUCGGGCCGGCGGUCUUGUUCGGCGGCGAGCGGCCCUGAACUCGGAGCUGCGCGUGUGAGGCGCGCGUCGCGGGGUACCACACGAGGGGCGGCGCGGCUGGCGGCGUUUUUCUCCACGGCGACGAAGGGAGCACUCCGUGUGUUUUCUGCAGCUGAUAUCAUGAAUCCAAACGAAGACGAAGCACCUGGGGGAGCCCUUGAAGAAGAUAAAUCUGCAGAUUUAAUUCCUCAACGAGGAAGAUGAAAAUCACAGGGGGGCCAAAUUCUGCUAGCUGAAAAUGCAGGAGUAGUCGUUUCAGGGGUCAACAACUUGUUGCGGGUGCCCGAGAAUACUGGGAUCAGUGUAGGCGUCCUAGAGGCACAAGACAAGAGGCCCUAUAGGUCCCUCGUUUUAAUACAGGGGGCAUUGAGGAUGGCGAGCACAUUGAGCACGGCAGGCCACGUAUACUGUUCCGUUGGGUUAUCAAGCUAACAGGUGUCCAACACGGGGUUAUAGCAGCGUGCUACAACUCUUUACACUUUAUCUUGCCACAGUUUUCUCUCCAGCAACUAUGACUACGAGAUGGAUCUACUGGGUGUUUCUCUUUUUUAUUUAUUUGACUGUUGUUAGAUAAACAGUUUUGUGGGGGCACGGAUCUCUGUCCCUGUGAUUUCUACCAGUUUAGAAGCAACUUUGAUUAGGUUUUAUCUACUGGGUAGAUAAGCAAAUUUGUGGUGCAUGGAUCUCUGUGUCUGUGAUUUUUACAAAGCCUCAGGCCAUUUUUAUCAGCAAAAGUGGUUUUAUCUUCAUGUACUUGUACUGACUAGAGAAGUGCUAUGCUGAAAUACCAACAAAAUCAGGGUGGUUUGAGGACC